rnacentral:rRNA from 1 species
AUUGAGCGCUGGCGGCAUGCUUUACACAUGCAAGUCGAACGGCAGCAUGGGUGCUUGCACCUGAUGGCGAGUGGCGAACGGGUGAGUAAUGUAUCGGAACAUAUCCGCAAGUGGGGGAUAACGUAGCGAAAGUUACGCUAAUACCGCAUAUUCCCUGAGGGGGAAAGGAGGGGAUCCGCAAGGACCUUUCGCUUACGGAGUGGCCGAUAUCAGAUUAGCUAGUUGGUGGGGUAAAGGCCUACCAAGGCGACGAUCUGUAGCGGGUCUGAGAGGAUGAUCCGCCACACUGGGACUGAGAGACGGCCCAGACUCCUUCGGGAGGCAGCAGUGGGGAAUUUUGGACAAUGGGGGCAACCCUGAUCCAGCCAUGCCGCGUGAGUGAAGAAGGCCUUCGGGUUGUAAAGCUCUUUCAGCUGGAAAAAAAUCGCAUCACCUAAUACGUGGUGUGGAUGAUGGUACCAGCAGAAGAAGCACCGGCUAACUACGUGCCAGCAGCCGCCGUAACAC